GCUAGCAGCCAUAUCACCCUGCAACUCACAACUGGCAACCCACUGAAGCUAAGCAGGUGUGAGCCUGGUCAGUACCUGGGUGGGAGACCUCCUGGGAAAAACUAAGGUUGCUGCUGGAA
ensembl:rRNA 5S_rRNA 5S ribosomal RNA